GAGUUGAAUGGCUAAUCAGCACAUAUACUGAAAUUAGAAGAAUACAGAGAAUAUUAGCAUGGCCAAUGCAGUGAUGACACAACGAUAAAGGGAAGGUUAAGAUUUUGCU